UACGUAGGCAGCGAGCGUUGUUCGGAGUUACUGGGCGUAAAGGGUGCGUAGGCGGUUGUUUUAAGUUUGGUGUGAAAUCUCCCGGCUCAACUGGGAGGGUGCGCCGAAUACUGAAUGACUAGAGUGCGGGAGAGGAUAGUGGAAUUCCUGGUGUAGCGGUGAAAUGCGUAGAUAUCAGGAGGAACACCGGUGGUGUAGACGGCUAUCUGGACCGUAAC
rnacentral:rRNA from 1 species